UGGAAACCCUAUCGACCAAUUCCCGUGCUCGAGUAGCCCCGUGUCCUGCCUUCCCCGCUCUCCACUCCCAACUCGCCCCCGCACAGCCGCCGCCUCUCCCCCAUAUCCCCAUUUCGCCGCCGCUCCCGCAGUCCUUCCCGUCCCCCCGAAAGCAUCGAACCCCAUGUCAGAGUUCAGUGGCAGAGCCCCCAGCCCUCCGCCGGAGUUCAGCGGCAGGAGCGGAGCGAAUCGCCGGGCAACAAAUAAAAAGGAUUCUAGAUCGAGGAGGGAGCAAGCCCAGAGGAGAGGGGAGACGAUGGUUGGUGGAGGCCAGGCAUCAGCAGCGGAGACGAGGAAGAGCGGGAGAGGUGACGCCGGCCGGAUGAGAUGUGGCAGCGGAGCCCUAGACAGAGCAGCACAUCCUCGUCACCCUUCUCCUUGCCUCCACCCAAGCGGCUGCCUGCAGAGGAGAACUCGAUGAUAGCUCUUAAUUCGUGGAGAGAAGGCUGGCACCAGUAGAGAAAUUUCACGGGUAGAUGAGAAACAUGUUUUUGGUCUUGAAUCCCCUUUUAAAUUCAGAUUGACACUUCAAUGUCUCAUUGAGAUGAAAGUGCCAACGAAUGAUUCCCAGGGGAAGAAGCAGUUUCCAAACAAGGAAGGUAUCCUUGCUAGGUUGCUGCCAUGAAGAUGGGAGAAACAUCCUGGUCUAUGAGUCCAUGAUGAAUGGGAUUCUGAAAGAGGAUCUACAUGUUUGAAGCUGUCCAGACCUGUAAAAUAGAUAUGCUUUGUAACCUUGAUAUAAUAGUAUAUACAUGACUAAAGGAGCGGACAUCGUCGUCGUCGUGAAUUUCCUUUAUCCCGUUUAAAAAAGAGGUGGACUGCAAUUAUGCCUUUUUUCUUGGCUCAAACAUAUUAAAUUCAGUAGCGUGAUUCUAAGUACAAUUUUACAUCUGCUCUCAGUUCAUAUUUUCCUCUUGUUGUUUUGUUUGUUUGUUGGGUCGACGGUGCUGAUUUGUUGUUUUGUCUUCUGCUGUGCGUCUAAUCACUGUGUUUGCUAGAAGGUGAGACUCUGUUUUUCCCAUGCUUUUAACCUGCUUGAUAAAAUGCAUGUGUGGUCCUGCGUUCAGUUUGCUUGUCAUGCUUCAUAUAUGUCCUCUGUAUUUACAAAUUCGUUGGUGAGGUCAAAAGAUACUUCUGGCGUUGCUUUGUGCAAAUAAAGUUUCCGGUCGUUCUGAUUUAGAGAUUAGAAUUAUGAGUGUAUCGUUGUGGUCGAUUCUUCUGAGUGUGCUGUUCGUGGUUUUAUUGCGUGUGGCAAGAAUUAAUGUAGAUUCUGAGUCUGAAUGUAGCUGAAAUUUCUGCACAUUGAAAUAGAGAUGCAUGCUUUGUUCCUAUGCCUCAUACAGAAGCUGAAGAAAAAAAAUCGUGCACAUUGAAAUAGAGAUGCAGCAUGUUAACAUCAUGUUCUAAACCACUUUUAGUGGUUGAGACACGAAACAAUUGUGCAGGCUCAUAAGCAAGAAGCUUUACAUUUAUUUAUUUGUGGUUUGAUGGUUCCUUUGCCACCCAAGUCAGUUAAUACACAGGAACAACCUGUAGUCAGGUCAUGAUUCUCCUCUUAUUCCUCUAUAACUCAAGAGGAUGUGUUCAAGUUCUGUCUGCCAUUUUCAUGGUUGCCAACAUGUGUUUAGUGUCCCAGUUGCAUAGGGAGAUGCUAAUGAUGCCUCCUUUGUGGCAUGACGGUCAAUUUAUUCUUUCUUUUCACAUAUUUUUUGUUUUAGUAACAAGCAUCUCUACAGUUGAUUACAAAGUUGUUGUUUCACAUAAUGCCAAAGUGAGAACGAGUAGCAGCGCAUUUUCAGGUUGAGUUCUAAAAAAUUGAGUACAAGUUGAAUGAUACCUCUAUGCAGAGGAGUUGGACCAACAAUGCAAGAAUAUCUCUCCUACUUGGAGAGUUGCUCCUUAUGUGCAGUUCCUCCUAAUUAAUCUAGA